rnacentral:rRNA from 1 species
CCUACGGGUGGCAGCAGUGAGGAAUAUUGGUCAAUGGACGGGAGCCUGAACCAGCCAAGCCGCGUGCGGGAAGAAGGUACAGCGUAUCGUAAACCGCUUUUGUCAGGGAACAAACGCGGAGACUAGUCCCCGGCUGAGGGUACCUUACGAAAAAGCAUCGGCUAACUACGUGCCAGCAGCCGCGGUAAUACGUAGGUGGCAAGCGUUGUCCGGAUUUACUGGGUUUAAAGGGAGCGUAGAUGGGUUGUUAAGUCAGUGGUGAAAGUCUGCGGCUCAACCGUAAAAUUGCAAUUGAUACUGGCAGUCUAGAGUACAGUUGAGGUAGGCGGAAUGUGUGGUGUAGCGGUGAAAUGCUUAGAUAUCACGAAGAACUCCGAUUGCGAAGGCAGCUUACUAAACUGCCACUGACAUUGAUGCUCGAAAGUGUGGGUAUCAAACAGGAUUAGAUACCCGAGUAGUC